rnacentral:snRNA from 1 species
GUGUUUGUUUUGGCAGCACAUAUACUAAAAUUGGAAUGAUAUAGAGAAGAUUAGCAUGGCCUCUGUGCAAGGAUGACACACAAAUUCGUGAAGCAUUCCUUAUUUUU